CGAAAGCCUGACGGAGCAACGCCGCGUGAGGGAUGAAGGUCUCUGGGCUGUAAACCUCUUUUCUCAAGGAAGAAGAUCUGACGGUACUUGAGGAAUAAGCUACGGCUAAUUCCGUGCCAGCAGCCGCGGUAAUACGGGAGUGGCAAGCGUUAUCCGGAAUUAUUGGGCGUAAAGCGUCCGCAGGCGGCCUUUCAAGUCUGCUGUUAAAGUGUGGAGCUUAACUCCAUCAUUGCAGUGGAAACUGUUUGGCUUGAGUAUGGUAGGGGCAGAGGGAAUUCCCGGUGUAGCGGUGAAAUGCGUAGAUAUCGGGAAGAACACCAGUGGCGAAGGCGCUNUGCUGGGCCAUAANUGACGCUCAUGGACGAAAGCCAGGGGAGCG
rnacentral:rRNA from 1 species